rnacentral:rRNA from 1 species
GAUGAACGCUGGCGGCGUGCCUAAUACAUGCAAGUAGAACGCUGAAGGAAGGAGCUUGCUCUUUCCGGAUGAGUUGCGAACGGGUGAGUAACGCGUAGGUAACCUGCCUGGUAGCGGGGGAUAACUAUUGGAAACGAUAGCUAAUACCGCAUAACAGUAGAUGUUGCAUGAUAUCUACUUAAAAGGUGCAAUUGCACCACUACCAGAUGGACCUGCGUUGUAUUAGCUAGUUGGUGAGGUAACGGCUCACCAAGGCGACGAUACAUAGCCGACCUGAGAGGGUGAUCGGCCACACUGGGACUGAGACACGGCCCAGACUCCUACGGGAGGCAGCAGUAGGGAAUCUUCGGCAAUGGACGGAAGUCUGACCGAGCAACGCCGCGUGAGUGAAGAAGGGUUUCGGAUCGUAAAGCUCUGUUGUAAGAGAAGAACGAGUGUGAGAGUGGAAAGUUCACACUGUGACGGUAUCUUAACAGAAAGGGACGGCUAACUACGUG